AACAUUGUGUUUUACUUCUUGCUUUUGGACUGUCAUGGAAAAACCUCAGUUUCAAUAAAACCAGUCUCAGACAGAAGCAAAGAAAGUACUUUAACCAUCUUAUUAACCAUAGGGACCUCUUAGGCAGUUUUGACGCAGUUCACUGUUCCGCAUGAAAAUGGCAUUAUUUCUGGGUCCGCUAGUGCAUAGAUGGGACAAAGCUAAUAACAUAUAUUGAAGUCAUUUUCUAGUUUGUUAUAACAUAAUACUUAAAUUAAUAGGGGAGCACUAAGCACUUCUAGUUUUAAAAUCUUAUUAAUCUAUGGCUACAAAUUUUCUUUAAUACGUGCAUGGUGUCACAGUUCUUUGCUUCAGAUGAAAGAUUAAAGGCUGUGAGACAGAUGAUAAUGGCAGGAAAUCUUGAACAGAGGCAAAGAGCAUUAGAUCUCCUCUUGCCUUACCAGAGAUCUGACUUUGAAGGCAUAUUUCGUGCGAUGGAUGGUAAGAUGAUUUACCUCAGACCAACAGUAAAUCACACAAUAACGGCUUAAGAUCAUCUUUGAGUGUUUUUUGACAUAUCAUGCAUAACAUCUUUGCCCAGCGCAUUUGGUAUCUUCUGGGUUGAUGGGAAUAAAGAAAACGUUUGUAUGUCAUGGUCUGUUUUGGAUCAGGCAUCAGUUUGUAACUUUAACUAACAGGCAUUGAUAUUUCUCUGUGAUUAUAACUAAUCAAAUGUGCAGUCCUCAUCUCAAGUAAAUAUUGUAAAGGAUCCCACUGUUCUUGUGAAUAGAUGUAAAUCCUGUGUAAAUUCCAGAAUCUGCUGAUAAUGAUGUUGGUGAAGGUUAUGAAAUAGAUGGCAGUUCAUUCAUCCAUCAUAUUUCCCCCUCAAUUGUGCUGCUCUUCUUCCUUAUAUGGGGUUAAAAUUUCAUUUUGUCCACACAUACAUUCAUGUUAUGUGAUCAACACUAUCUCAUUGUUGGUACAAGAGCUCCAGUGGAAACAUUUACAUCGUAGUUGUCAAUUUUUGAAUUCAGGACUUCCUGUGACUAUCAGAUUAUUAGAUCCUCCACUCCAUGAGUUUCUGCCAGAGGGUCACAUUGAGGACAUUGUGGGUCAACUGUCUUUGGACACUGGCAUGACAGAAGAGGAAGUCCUUGCAAGAGUUGAAAAGCUCUCUGAAGUAAAUCCCAUGCUAGGUUUCCGUGGCUGCAGGUUGGUUCAUUGCUUUGUUUGUAAAUUAGUGCAAUCUAUGCAUUGUUGCUGAUUGUGAUCUGGCCGUGAGUCUCUUUUGCUUUCUUUUGGUUGCAUGUGUCUUUGAUAGUUAAGUUUUUGCCAUAUCAUUACGUGGAUUUUCCUGAUUCUUCUUCAUAAUUUUCUCCAUAUAUAUACUUAUUAUUCAUUUAUAUUUCAAGCAAGGCUGCUCAUGUCUUUGGUGAUUUCUUUUUAACUUAUCUUAUCCUGGCUCCAUUUCUCUAAUAUUUGCCCAUUUGUAUAGCUUGAAUGAUCACAUGUAAGUUUUAUUCUUCAAUGUUUUCUUUAUUUUCUCCACGAAAUCUGUUUACCUUUAAAUAUAUUUUAUGUUACGUUCUUAGCAUACUCUUGUGCUAUUAGGCUUGGUAUAUCAAACCCAGAGUUAACCGAAAUGCAAGCACGUGCUAUCUUUGAAGCUGCUAUUUCCAUGAGCAAUCGGGGUGUCAAAGUUCUUCCAGAGAUAAUGGUGCCUCUAGUUGGAACACCUCAGGCAAGCCCCUUCUCCUAUUGUCUGUUGUUCGAAAUGUUCUUUGAAGCAAGUCGUCAUACAUUUCCAUCUAGUCAUUCGAUAUACUUUUAUUUCCACUUCUUUACAAGCUAGCAUACUUUGUAAUUCAUAAUUAAGAAAAAAUGAAGAAAGAGAGGGCCAUGCUACCUAAUCUUUUUAGAUAGUACAUUAAAAAAUGAUCUGAAUUUUCUGGUGUCUUGAGUCUUUUAUGUUCUAGGAAAUAAUAACUGUCAAAAUUAGAAACUGAUUAUCUCUUUUAGUUAUAAUGCACAAUCUCUUAUUUCUAAGAUGUGCCUCCAUUUUGCAAAACUCAGGUGUCUUCAAUCAUUUUAAAAUUAAAUAACUAGUUGUCAGUUUAAUAUCACCCUAGUUUAAAAAGAUUGAGAAAUUCCUUGUGAAGUAAUAAAAAUUUCUGAAGAGAUAGUUCAUCAUCGACUCCAUGGAACCAUUUUUAGCUUCAUCAGUUUCUUGCCAUUCAAAGUCACCUUAUUCCAUUUUUUUCCUAGCUUUUACUCUCAUACCUAUAAGCUCUUUCCAUGGUCUCAAAACCAUUUGCUGUUAUAAGGUUAUUAAAGAAAUUUUAGUAUCUUUCAUGAUUUUUCAUUCAAUAGGUCUUUGUUUCGUAUUAUUUUUCCACUGUUUAUCAGACAUAAAAUCGUGUAUUUUAAGAUACUGCAUGAGGUUUCUCAUGGGAUUGUGUUUUGUUGUAUGCGAGGCACUUAUUUUUCCAAGUUUCAAUGAUUACAUUUUCUUAUUGGUAGGAAUUGGGACAUCAAGUGAGUCUGAUACAAAAAGUUGCUGAUAAAGUCUUCUCUGAUAUGGGCACCUCAUUAAGCUACAAGGUUGGGACUAUGAUUGAAGUUCCUAGGGCUGCCCUUGUUGCAGGCGAGGUCAAUUAUGACUAAUAACUUUGUCUACUUUUGAGGCUAAUCUGUAUAAUUUACAAUAAAGAUUUAGCUGGUUAGAUACAAGCUUUCAUUGAACCCUCUUCAAGUGGCAUACAUGAACUAUAGAGGCCUUGCUGAAACAAAAUCAUUUUGGGAUCACAUAUAAUGUCUCGUCUUUUUCUGUUUCCUUGUUCCUCAUUCUAUUUCUAAUUUGUCAUUGGCAGAUUGCAGAACACGCAGAGUUCUUUUCUUUUGGAACAAAUGAUCUUACUCAAAUGACAUUCGGUUACAGUAGAGAUGAUGUUGGGAAGUUUCUGCCUAUCUACUUAUCCAAGGGCAUCCUCCAAAAUGAUCCCUUUGAGGUAAGAAUACUGCAAGUAUUUAUUAUAAAGUCCAUAUGCAUAGGCUUCAUAAAAUCCACAUUACUCUUUGUGUCUAGAUAAUUAGAUUAAACUAUCUUAAUGUAUUGGAUACUGUGGUUUCUGUGAAGACUUAGAAAUAUAGGAGGCACUAAGCUAUUGAGAACUGACAUUUCAUCUUGUACUACAAUUCCCUGGCUGGCUUCUCUUGUUGCAAUAUAAUUGGAAAUUAGCUUCUGUAAAUUUCAGCAUAUUCUUACAAAGUUUUGUUACUUGGGGAUAUUUUUUUUCUUUUUGAGAAUAAGGGUUCUUUUUUUUUCAGUGGGUAAAUUUGUGUCAAAUCUGUUAAAAUUUACAGAACAAGCUGGGCUGGUCUCAAUCCAGUAGUUAUCAAAACUUUGAAGGUUUCGAGAUUGAUAUGGUUAUAUAUUUGGAAAUUUUAAAAUCAGUAAAAUCUCUUAGUUGCAGGGCCUUCACAAGGAAAGCUUAAAUUCUACAUUUAGCUUUUGUUUUGUUCUUAUUUCAGUUUGCUGAACUGCAGCUUUGUUGCAUUUAAUCUUUGUAAGAGUGUUUAAUCUUAUCAAAAUCAUUAUUUUAUAACGCAAAUCUGCAAUGCACUCUAUAAUAUCAUGGAGGAACAUUAUCAAAAGAAAAAAAGAAAAAAAUUUAGACUCAUGUUAUUAAUUAAGUUAAGACAUGUUUUAAAAAUUUGACAUACUUAUAACAUUAAUGGUUUCUCUGGUUUGCUUCAUUUUUGCAAUAUUUCUGAACCCUUGGCCAACCCAAGACAUCUUGUUUACCUUCAAAAAUUUAUGCUUGACAUUCAAUGUUCACGCAAAUUAAGUCUUAAUUUUCUAUCCUGGAGUGCUUACGACACGCUAGUUUAUCUGUUUAUGAAAUUUCAGGUUCUUGAUCAGAAAGGAGUGGGCCAGCUUGUUAAAAUUGCCACAGAAAGAGGACGGAGAGCUAGGCCUGACUUAAAGGUAAGUGGCUUACAAGUGUGCAUUGGAUCUGUUUCAAACCAUGAAAUUGUGUGGGUCUACUGUUCUUUUAUGAAAGAAAAAGAGUGGUUCUAUGUGGAUUCGAGUGUUUGGGUUGGUGAAACAGGUUGGCAUAUGUGGUGAACAUGGUGGAGAGCCUUCUUCAGUUGCAUUUUUUGCAGAAGUUGCACUGGACUAUGUCUCAUGCUCCCCAUUCAGGUCUCUGAUUUUUUUUCAAUUUCAAAUGGUUGCAUUAUUUAUUCAUCAUAGUUUUAGGAUGUCUAUGUGUGAGCCUGCGAGUCAUUCUAUUUGAACUUGCAGGCUUAGGAGACAGUUUCUGAACCAUUUGUGGAAAUAGGCAUCUUUAGCAUUUCCUAGUAAAGAGAUGGAGCAAACAUGAGACAUUGAGGCAGAUGAUAUAUGUGUAUCAAACAAUAUUAAAGAAAAAUAGACUGAAGAAAGAUAAACAAAGACGAGAAGUUUUCAGUAUUUCAUUUUUGAUUUUCAUUCUUCCAUUCAGUAGGAACUUGCACAGGGUAGGAAAAUCAUGAACUUUGUCUUCGGUAAUACAAAAAUUGUGUGAUUUGUGUCAGUUGAUAGGUAAAAAUAGAUUGAAGAGAUACAUCUGUUCACCUUAGUGAGUACAAAGCAAUUUUAUCACUCUAUUAGUUAUAGUUGGAGCUAGGUCUAGCACAAAAUUAUGACAUUCUUAUAAAAAAUUUCAACUUAUUGUAUUGUGAUUAUAAAUUUAAGUUUUCUUCAUACCGAGAGUACUGCAAAUUGCAGCCAUAAGCAAAUCUUAGGAGUACCGCAAAUCUCAGAGAUGGAAUAGCCCUUCUACAUCUGCUUUUGGUAGUUAUUCUUUAAAUGUGUCUUAAUUACUUUUAUUUCUGAAACCAAGUCCUUUUUCUUCCUCCACCACCUUUUUUAUUCAAUAAAAAAAGUUAUUUCAAAUGUGCAAAAUCAGGUAAAUGAUCAUCAACAUAAACCAAUCAUUUGAUUACUUUAUAAUUCAAUUCAUUUAACUUUUUUUUUCCUCAGGGUUCCAAUUGCCAGGCUAGCGGCAGCUCAAGUGGCAGCUUAGAGAGACUCCAAGACGUGUACAGACAAACAAAACAUCUGAAAAGUUGUGCAAGCACACAAUAUAUGCUGCAAAAAACAGCAAUAAGUGCUUCCCAAUAACUAAAUCCUAGUUGUGUUAAUAAGAAACUUAGAGUUCAACCUAAGUAGAAUGUAAAUAUGUUGUAUAACAUGUUAAACCAGUAUAAUAAUAAUGUUUUCUUUUUUGGUCAUGCAUGUGGAGAUAAUGUUGAUUAUGUUGUCAUAUAAUCCCCUGGAAUCUCAUUAUCUGCUUGUGUUGUGGAAAUCAACUUAUAUUAGACAAUGUUCGGGACCUUGGUAUUAAUGAAUAUGGUAGAGUGAUGAUUCAGGUUUUGCAGAGGUAGUUUUAGGUUGGUGUGUAAAUUUCAUACAUGUUUCAUUCUAGCUAGUUGAGUGAUCAAUGGGCCUUCCCAAAUCAUUAUCUCAAAAAAGUUGGUACUUCAUUUUUCAUGAUCAAACUUCAUCAUAAGUGAUGGUUUUCUGGUGACACAGGUUGGUCCAUCCCUGCAUAUCUUUCUCCCUGGUUUGACUACAAUCAUCUGUUUACAUCUUAUGGACAAUGAUCAAUCUUGGCUAGUUCAUGCUGACUUCUAUGGGGAAUGUAUUAAUCUUUUCUUCUUCUUUUUUCGAUAUUAGGAGAAGUAGGGAGGAGGAUUAGGAAUCUUCCUAUCUUGGUACUUUUUUUAAAAUGAAUAGUAGUAUGCAUAGAAAAGGAAAGCAAAGAGGAACAAAGAAAAGAAAAAGAGCAACAUGCAGCAAGCUAAACAGAACAAUGCACUUUUUCUCAGAGAUUCCAAGUAGGCCUUAGUAGUCUUUCUUGAACACAAGACCCCUAAUAUAAUGCUUUACAUUACACUUUACAGAUAGUUCAUUUUCUUGUAAAAUGGAAACCACACAACUUUAUAAUGGAUGGGGUUUUUCACACUAUGGGAGCUGGCCAUGCCCGAGGUCGUUACCAUAAUCCCGAGGAGGAUGCCGAAGGCGGGGCUAGUGACUGGAGUGAAGUCGUAACAAGGUAGUCGUACUAGAAAGUGUAACAAGGUAGUCGUACUAGAAAGUGUGGCUGGAUCACCUCUUUUUCAGGAAGACCUAAUGCUUAUGCUUGUUGGGUAUUUUAGUUUGACACUGCUUCACAUCCAAAAAGAAGCAAGCUACAUCUGAGCUAAGCUUGGAAAUGGAAUUCUUCUUUCCUUUCUCGAUGAUGAAGUGAAGUAAGAUCAAGCUCAUGAGCUUAUUAUCCAAGGUUGGAACAAGUUAGUUGAUAGGAUUCUCUUUUUUACGUCCCCAUGCCGUCACGCGGGAGGGACAUGGGGGCACAAAACAAAAAAGAAAGAUAGCUUAUUAUGUAGGUCCUAUAUCAAAUGUUAGGUGGUCUGUCUAACAAGGAUAAUGGUAAGAUACAAUGCAUGCAUAGGUGACUUUGCAUAUGAUGGCUUGUAAACAUAAAACCACUCCACUCUAAAUAUUUCAAAUUGUCGAUAAUUUAGUAGACAUUAUUAUUUAUGGAGACAAUAAAAUAAAAAAUUAUUUAAAAAAACAUAGUUUAUGGCAGACAAGAUGAACUUGAUAUUAAAAAAAAUAGAUUUAUGAUCAAAUUUGAUUCACAUGUAAGAUGUUUUUUAUAUUACUGCAUAUCUAGAUUCAAUUUUGAACUGACAUAUUUAGUAUGCUUAUUUUCUAUAAAAUUACUAUUAUUGCCUAAUUUAUCUAGUUAAAGUGUUUAUUGAUCAUUGGGCUGUCGAGCUCAUUAUCUUUUCUUUCCUUACAUAUUCAGAUACUUAAAUGGUAGGAAUUUGAUGAUUUAUAAAUCAUUCCCAACGAGCGAUCGGUUUAUGUUGGAGCAUGAUGAAUUCCUUCGUGCUGACCUCUUACCCUUGCUCUUGUAUUAUUAUAAAAAAGUAGGGGCAUCAUUUGUGUAGGUUAGUUCUAGUAAAGGCCCAAGCAAACUAACAAAAUGCCCAACCGAUGAAAUUAAAUAGUUAACCCUGAAAUUAAAGCACAAUUACAUUGGCUAUUGAAUUCUUAAUUGGUAUAUAUUUCAGUUUGGCUAGGUUAGGUCAAUUUGGGACAUGUCAUGUGCUUUGACCAUUAAUCAAGUUAAUAGGUUUGGAAUAUCUAUCAUAGAGCUGCUUAUUUAGUUCAUGCUAGUUUCAGGUUAGAACAUGUUAGGUGACCUCUGGAACAGAUUCAUGUUUGGUUGAUUUGAAUUAGGAUAGAUUGCCCAAGCCUUCAGCCUAAUUGGGAGGUAACCUCCAUUCUGAACCCAAAUCCUAGUAAGAUACACAUUAGCCCAACCUGACCCAAAGAAUGGAUCAGAUUUGGGCUAGCCCGUCUUCAAGUGGAUCUCCAAGGGCAAACAAAAUUUCCAACAUGUCAUUAUUGAUUAUUGUCAACGAAUAGGGCAUAAAGUGACUUCUUAGUCCUAGUACCUACUUCUUGUUGAAGAAUAAUCCGCAGUAAUCCUCUCUUGCAGAAUCAAAAUGUAAAUAAAGCAGCUAACCAAAUAACAUUAUGGUUGCUUGUUUGGCCACACAAAAAAUUGACUCGUGGCAUGAGAGAACUCUUGUGACUCCCAAGAAAUGGAGCUAAAGAACAGAGGUGGUUAAAUAAUUAGUAACUAUGUUAGUGUCGUAUGCCCAAAGAACUUGUUUGACCAAUUAAGAGUUUGGUUUUCCUCAUAGAUGUUGGAAGUGUCUAAAUUUGGUUUCUCCAAACUUGAAUCUCGAUCUUUCUUUCUUUUUUUUUUUUUGGAUACUACGGCUGCUCAUACUAUUCUAGCAUGGAUACAGCCAGUAAAAUCAAGGAAGAGAAGAUGAUGAAGAGGUGCAGGGAUGGCCCCCAUUCUCAUAGAGAAGAUGAAUCUCGAUCAUUAAUUAAAAUUAUCAUUUAAGAAUUAUUUAAAUAAUUUAUUUAUAAGAAAUCGAUCAGUAAUAGAAAAGCAUACAAGUAGCAUUUGAGCACGAAAUCGACUCAAACAACCUUACUUUUUGACUCCCUCAAUCUUUUUCAAUAAAUUAGAAAACCCAAAAUUCCAAAAGCAUUUUCAUAGUGGCAACCCAUUAUGCCACCACGUAUGUUUGUGGCAGUGCAUGCAACGUAAUUUAUGUUUGCAACCCACUGCUUGUUAAUGCAUUAAUUAUUUGUUACCUCACUCAGUUAUUAUAUGCUAGCCUCCAUCUUUUUCUGUUUCUCUUUUUCAUAUCCUCAUCAAUUUAACCCGGAUAAAUACAAGAACUCCACGCCAUGGACCGAGUCGCAGGUGCACUGUAGGUCUUGUUCUCGUCUCCCACUAGUUUUCAGGUCUUGGCUGCACUUGGCAGCAUGCAGGCAUCACUAACUAUAAAUAUGGAGGACAAGAGAAGUCCUCAACCCAUCCAAAACCUUGAAAAAACCUCUAUCUCCUUUUGUGUUGUAGUUCUUCGAUCUUCUCUUUCAACUGAUGGCUCCCUCUAGAAACCAUUCUCAGAGAGUGUUCAUCUUCGGCAAGGGCAAGAGCGAAGGCCACAAAGGCAUGAAGUCCUUGGUAUAACCAUCUAUCGAUCCCUCCUCCUCUUCCAAACACUCUUGCUGUUCCCUUCUAGAUCUUUGCUUAUACAUUAACUCUGUGAACAGUUGGGUGGCAAAGGAGCAAACUUGGCGGAGAUGGCGAGAAUUGGGCUGUCAGUGCCGCCGGGGCUGACGGUAUCGACGGAGGCCUGCCGAGAGUACCAGGAGAACGGCCACAAGCUGCCGCCAGGCCUCUGGGAGGAGAUACUGGAAGAACUGCAUGCUGUGGAGGAAGACAUGGGAGCUCGUCUCGGCGAUCCCUCCAAGCCCCUCCUCCUCUCCGUCCGAUCUGGUGCUGCGGUAUGUCGACAACCAUCUGAUCCUUGUUGCAUGGAUGGCUGUGGGUUUGAUGGUUAAUUUUGGUCGAACAAAUUUAGGUGUCGAUGCCGGGGAUGAUGGACACGGUGCUGAACUUGGGACUCAACGACGAGGUGGUCGCCGGGAUUGCGGCCAAAAGUGGGGAGCGUUUCGCUUACGACUCGUACCGGCGAUUUUUGGAUAUGUUUGGCGACGUGGUGAGUGGAUUUCGGAUUUCUCCCCCGUUUUUGUCUCUUUGUUGAUUAGUUUGUUUGUUUCCUUGUAUCGCCAAUAAAAUAUACAGGUUGCUUUUUUUUGGUCACUCUUGUUUUUAGCCAAUUACAUUGGUUGACCCAACGGGGGAAAUGACAAAGAGGCAUAACCACCUCUUUUGUCACUUGGACGGAAGCUUGGAGUUCGGUUGUAACUGAUGCCAUCCCUUGCAUCAACCCUAAUUAGCAAAACUCUAGUUCCUCGAGCAAUGGCUUAAUUGGUCUACCCUUAGGAUGUGAUCGAUUCGUGAUCAUAAUUACAAUCAGAAUGGUCAAAUUCUCUAGUAUAUUUGGUUCGUAGCUGGAAUUGGAAUUGAAAUUGGAAUGAAAUUUGAAUACCAGGAAAAAGUCGGAAUUGGGUUCGGAGGGUUGGGGCUUCUCCAUUUCUCUCGAAAUUGAAAUUGAAAUGAAACUUUCUCCAAUCAAAUAUUUUCUUAAUGGAGUUAGUAUAUGAUAACAUGUGGAGAUUGGGCCUUAAAUAUCUCAAGCCCAAGAGGAUUUGAAAAGCACCCAUAUUGUUGCCAUGUAGUAUGGUAGGGGAGGCAAUCUUUAUCCAACCCGCUAACUGAAUAUAGAUUCAUUACACAAGUUUAGGUUAAACAUAAAUAGAUUUAACUUAUAAAUAGAUCGAACUGCCUAAUCUGUUUAUUGAACGGGCUGUGCUCGAGUUUAAAGUCUAAACUUGUCUGACCUAAUUUAAUCUAUUUAAUUAUAAGUCAAAUUUAUGCAAUCUAACUUGUUUGGGUUAUGCAAGUUAACUCUUUAAUAAACAAGUUGAUUUGAAUUUCUGAUUUUGAUUUGUUUAUUGCAUGUGUUGGACUUUGAUUCAUUAUUUUCUCAGAGCAUAUAUGUCUUGACAUAACAUGACCAGGUUACCUGUUUAAUAAACAUCAAGUUUGUUAUUAGAUGAAUCCAGUUUGGGUUGAUAAUCUAUUUCCCAGCCCGGCGGUUGCCACAAGGCCGACCUGAUAUAUAGUCCUAGCUAUUAUCUCCAUCUUAUUAAAGUGGCAAGUCUUUUAACAAAGCAUGGUUUAGGUCUGUUGCACGGUCCAAAUGAGUCAUCCCAAGGUACAGUAGAUGGUAGGCUUGUAGGUUCAUGUUUGACGUUGUUCUAUAGCAACCUAUAAACACUUUCCAGAUUCUGGCACCAUUCAUCUACGUUAAAAAUUAAGUCCAGGCCCUAUAUAAUAUUAAUAGAUUGAGUAUGGGUUCGGUAAGCCAUUGUUUGUUUGUACUAAAAAAAAAUUCAUAUAAAUCAAAUAAAUAAAAAAAAUAUAUAAAAAAUCUUAGUAUUUUACAUAACAUUAAACAAAAUAAAAAUUAAAAACUUAGAAUAUAAUAUGAACAAAAUUUUAAUAAUAAUAGAAACAUAACAAAUAAAAAAAAUAAAUAUAUUUUAAAUUAAAAAAAUAAUCAACUAAAUAAAUGAAUAACUAAACAUCAUGGCGUGUAAGCUUUUUCAUGUUUAAUUUUUCUCACAAAUGGAGCAAAUAGGAUAAUGGAUCAGAAGAAAAUUUUUGAAAAGUUGUAUAUAUUCAAAUCGGAUUUAGGGUUAGAUUUGGUUGCAUAAAAUUCAUUCUAUUAGGAUUUGAACAAAUCCGACGAAUUAGAGUUACAGGAUGGGGUAAUUUGCCACCCCAGACCGAUCACAGUGGUAUUGUUUUACGAGAGGCUACUUUAGCAUUACAUAGACAACUCAGGACAUUACAAAAGAGGUUGAUGUUAGGAGCUGUGCAUAUACAAGGACUUCGUAACUCGGCCACUAACCAAAAAAAAAAAAAUCUUAGCAUCAAGAGAGCCACUUCCAAGCGAGAGAGAGAGAGCCAAUAAAUAUGUUUAUUAAUAAAUAGUAGUUAAUUUUGUUCCAAGACGUGCAAUUUACAGCAUAUAGAUUAUUUUGGCGGUGGCUUUCCUUAAUGCGUCUUCUAUUUGUGAUGGUGGAUAUACUGGAGGUGAUGGGCAUUCCACACUCACGGUUUGAUGAGAAACUGGAAGCCCUGAAAGCUGCAAAGAGAAUUAGCGUCGAUACCGACCUUACCGCCGCAGACCUCAAAGAGCUCGUUGUCCAGUAUAAGAAAGUAUACCUUCAGGCUAAAGGAGAGCAGUUCCCUUCAGGUAAAGUAUUAUAACUUACAGCAAUGCCUUGGUACUUCUGAUACUUAAUUACUUCCUCCUUUUCUUAAGUUGUUCGGGUCUGUUAACGUUUUGGUGUUCCAGUUUCAUGUUCUCCAUGAAUUUGUUAUGUGCUUUCCAUCUUUACAUGAGAAUGAGGUUCUGAUGUUCUUUUUUUUUUUGCUCCUAUUGCUUUGUGAUUAAUGAAUGGCUGUCUCAAGCAAUAUUUGGACUGUUUGCAGACCCAAAGAGGCAGUUGUACUUGGCAGUGGUGGCGGUGUUUGAUUCAUGGGACAGUCCACGAGCAAAGAAGUACCGGAGCAUUAAUCAGAUCACUGGGUUGAAGGGGACUGCGGUUAAUAUCCAGUGCAUGGUGUUUGGGAACAUGGGGAACACCUCAGGGACUGGUGUGCUCUUCACGAGGAACCCCAGCACUGGGGAGAAGAAGCUCUAUGGGGAAUUCCUCAUCAAUGCUCAGGUUUGAUGCUCUUCUUUUUUAUUCUCUGAGUUGAAAAGUUGUGGUUCUAGUUUCUGCAUGAUGCCUUUAGAAUCUAUCUUUAUUCUCAUGAACUUAAAAGCCAAGUGGAGCAUGGUGAUUCCACUGGUGUAUUAGAUUUAUCAUCGACUACUGCAAGAGCUGGAUUUUUGCAUGCAAACUCUUGAUUUUUAUGACAGUAGGAAUUUGGUCCCUCUCCUCAGUGCAUAUGUUGGGGAGAGAUCCCAAGUAUCAUAUUUCAUAUUAAAGAAGAGUAUAGGUAUCAUAUUUCUCGAGAACUCUACAAGUUGCCAAUAGAGGGUAUAUUGAGGAAUCAAAACAAGAUGAGGAUAGAAGUGUUGAAUAAAGUUGAAAUUCGAUCUCGAUCAGCGUCAUUUGAUUUUGGAACAUUGAAUUGUUACCGAUUUGUACAGCAUUUUGGUUACUAUGGCAGAAUGCCAUUUUGGGGGAAGCACUAAAGCAACCUACAAGUAUGGCAUGAACCGAUCAUGCUUAUGACAAAUUCAAACUUUUGACUACAGCUUGAGUCAUCAACAUUGUUGAAUCCUGCCGAUAGUGCUAGAGUCACUUGUUAUAGCAAAGUGGAACACAAGGAGGAAUAUUAGUUCUUGACAACUAUGACCUCAAUAAAGAUGGUGCUGGUCGAUGAUGCGCUUGAUUUAAGCCUUCAAGAUGAUAGGCAAAGGCCUUUAAUUCUAGAGAAAAUUCAGAGGGUUGUUUCUUGCUUUGAUGUGCUUAAAUUGCGAUGAUAACAUAGGCUGUCAUACAUGAUAGUUGGUCUUGUUUUCAUGUAAGGACUCCCUCUUGACUAAACUUGACCUGUAAUAGGUACUGAUUGUACAGAAUUGACAUCUAGCUAGUAAUCAGUUAUAAAAAUUUAGGCAAUCUUUCCAUGGAGCCUCCUCAACAUAGAUAUGCCUUGUAGCUGAUUAUGUUCUGAAAGGAAAAACCAUAAGUUAUGAAGAUUGAAUGAAUUUUUAGGGGAUGAUCAUGAAUGAAUUUUUAGGGGCUCAUCAGCACUAAGAAGCGGCUAGAUUCUGGAAGAUGUUUGAUGAUGUUGGACAGCAAUUAUCCAUAAUAUCGAGGCAAUUGCAUGUCAUGGAUGUUUUCAUGAACAAAUGCAUGGGUCUUUCACAAUGUCUUUGAAAUCUUUAUCAACCAAAUAAAUCAAUUAUAGACUCCAACAUAAUGUAAGAUGAGCAUGCCUUAAUAAUUGCAAAGGUACAAGUACAGCCAUGAACUACUGUACCACUCUAAACCACCCGGUUAGGGUGUAUCAUACCGUACUGGGUUGGAACCGGUACGAAAAUCAUAUUCGAGUCAGAACAGGCCUCGUAACGACUCGUAUCGAGAAGUAUCUAGGUGAACCGGGGUGUGUUCCAACCUAUACCGAGGUGUAUUAGGAUAAAAAAUGAGAAAAUGGCUCGAGAGCUGUCUUGGUACAAAGUACGUACCAUACCAAGCUAUACCGAAUUGAACCAGUAAUGUAUCGGUAUGAUACCAGGUUCCAAGAUUCCAAACUUUGGGUACAAUAAUUUAGUAUCAGGUACAAGAAGCUCAUAGUUAUGAUUAUUACCAUUGCUGCUCAUAUAUGAUGUGAUAUGUAAUAUGCAUGACAUAAUGUUUUGUUUAGAUGUGUUUUGCUGCUCAAUCCUUUAUACAGUCCAUGAUCUUACAGUCGCGACUUGUACCAAUAUGAGUUUCAUUAGUUUAAAUCAUUCAAGUGGAUGACUUCCCAUUCUGUUAGGCCAAAAUACAGUAUCCUCCUAAUACCAAACUAAAUGGGAAGGCAAUGCUUAAUAGCGUUUGUCACAAUACAUUUCAGUUGUUAUUUUUAGAUACCACUUAUAAUAUUAUCUUAAUUGUUGAUAUUUAAAAUAGUAUUUCCAUUGAUUAGAUCAUUCUAAGAUGAGACUGUAUUGCUAUUCAGUAAUUGUUUAUAUCUAAUAAAAUCGACUUUUCAUAAAACAGGGUGAGGAUGUAGUUGCUGGAAUCAGAACUCCACAGGAUUUGGAUGUUGUGAAGCAGAGCAUGCCAGAUGCCUACAGUGAGCUUGUUGAGAAUUGUAGGAUCCUAGAGCAACAUUAUAAAGAUAUGAUGGUUAGAUCCUUUAUUUCACAGCUCCCUCAGAUAGCACAUGCAUACAUGAAUGCAUAAAAGCGUACAUAUACAUACAUAUGUACUGGCAUAUAUCUACAUUUAUACAUACGUAGACAGAGAAAUAUUUUCUUAGAAUAUGCAACAAGCUAAAAGGCUAUUAAAAAGAUAUGAAAGUCAUAUUGUUAAUUUCAUGGCCCUAUCAAAUAUAUGUCUGUGAGCAUGGUCUCCAUGUGCAUGCUUUUGUAUGAAUGCAUGCUUGUGUGCGGGCAUGCAGGCAUGUUCUGUUGGUGUGCCUGAGCAUGCGUACAAGUGUACAUUCCUGCUGAUGUAUGUUUGCAUGUGCAUGCCUAUCUAUGUUGUGUCUCCCAAUUGUUGUGUUUUCAUUCUCGAAUGUGCAGUUAUCUGUUUCCCUAGUAUAAGUCAUCUGGAAUUUUGUCUGUUAUCUUUUGAGGUCAUCUUGUCAUUAAUCUACAGAGAACUAAUGAUACAUUAGAUUUAAUGGAUAUUUUGUAUUUCUUGACUUGCAAAUCAACUGAGUUUUCUCCUAUAAUACAGGAUAUUGAAUUUACAGUGCAAGAAAAUAGGCUUUGGAUGCUGCAGUGCAGAUCAGGAAAGCGCACUGGCAAAGCUGCUGUCAAGAUUGCUGUUGACAUGGUUAAAGAAGGCAUUGUUGAUACUCGUUCUGCUAUAAAGAUGGUAGAACCAGGGCAUCUGGACCAACUUCUGCAUCCACAGGUGGAAUUUUGAAAGAAAGAAUAAAUUGCAUUUCGAUGAAUGUGGGUUGAAUGCCGGUUAAGGCUUUUGGUUGGGUUAAUGAGUUAAAAUGAAGUGAGGCUUUAUGACAUAAAUCCAUGGAUUUCUGGAUUUCUUAAUUACAACAUGUCAGUACUACAGCAUGUUGAGUAAACAAUAUAUAUAACACUUAAACAGGAUAUUGUGUAUAUUCUUGCAUUCAUUUAUAGACUUCAUACAUGGAGCAUUACAGCAAUGUAUGGACAUACACAGGUACAUUUGUAUGACUUAUGGCAAUGUAGAUUAUCAUGAGUUAAAGCAUUGACUGCUUAUGCACUGAAGGAUGUUGAGACUUUGUCCUACUAAAUUGUUAUUUUCAACAUUUUGUUACUUUAUUGAUUAUUAUUAAUUAUGACAGAAUAGGAGACAUGCAACCUAUAAAAAGUUCAUGUUGGUUCAUACUGAAGUCUUAUAUUGUAGCAAUGUUUAAAAAUGCAGGCAUGAUUGUUUUUGUCCACCUGCAUGGUUGUGCCUGAGAACUUGUUUGGAAAUCACAAAGACUAGCAUAGUCACAUGUCCUUAUAUAUAUUGCUGAAUUUCUGAUAUUCUCAUCUUUUGUUAUUUAGUUUGAAGACCCAUCUGCAUACAAAUAUAAAGUGAUCGCUACAGGCUUGCCUGCAUCACCCGGGGCUGCAGUUGGUCAGGUUGUAUUCACUGCUGAUGAUGCUGAAACAUGGCAUGCCCAAGGAAAGACUGUCAUUUUGGUAACUCAGUUUCCCUCAUAAUAAAAGAUACAAAAAUGAAGAUGUAUUGCCUCUUUAUGUAACUCUAGGGCUGGUUUUUGGUAAUUUUACACUGCAUGGGCCAUCGUUUUGAUCUUUUAUGUGCUCUUAUUGAUAGUUAUGAGGGUUUAUGCUAUGAUUUUUUUAGAUAUGCAUAAGAAAUUUACCUAAUGAAAAUUCUACGUCAAAAUUUUCUUGUAGUUGAUGAAGAAUAAAAGCCAAACUUUAGCUGAAAUUACCAUCAAUACUAUAAUCAGAUAGGGAUUAAAUUCUUUCUUACUAGAAUUUUCUAAUAUGAUUCAUAGUUGUUGCACUCCAUGGUUAUCAACAUGACCACAUAUGCCACAAUGGCACAACCAUUACAACUUCCUCAGCUAUUUUGUCUCCUAAAUAUCUAAUUUCCACUAUCUUUUUAUUCUACCUAUGAAGUUGAAUUACUGUAAUCUAUAAAUCAUGAAUUCUUCUUUCCACUACUUUCCAUUACAAAAGGCUAAUUGUUAUUUCUUUAGAGGCUCAUCUGUUUAAUUACAUUCAUGCAGGUAUAGUGUAAUCAAGGGAGGAAAGCAAAAGGAAUGAUUGAUUUAUUGUCUUAUUCUUGUCAACUUUUUACUAUCUGCAAAAUGUAAUAGAUCAGUAAUUUGGGAUUAUCAUCUUGAGCAUCUUCACUUUCUUUGCUUAUACUUCUGCUUUCAACCUUGCCAAGCUUGCUGUGCCCUGUUCUUUCACUCCAUGUGUUGCAACAUUGACUUGCCGCAAAACUGACCUAGAUGCAGGAUCUUGCACUUUCGUUGAGUUUAGUGUUGUUUUUACCUUUUAAAACUCUAUGGUAUGAAAUUUUGAAAUAACAUUUGAAUGUUGCUUUAACUAUUGUUAGACUAAGCCUUCUUGAUGAGCUGAUUUACUUCAUUUUAAUGUGUGCGGGGGAUUUAUGACUCUCCAACUAUGCUUGGUUUAUCUUCUAUGUUGUCUUCAAUGUUAUGAAUCUUGUAUCAAUGUUUACUAAAUUAAAACUUAUGGGCUUUAAAUAUUUGUGAAUUACCAGUAUUUAAAAGCUGGAAUUUUGACCCAACCCCAAAAAUUUAGGGCUGGAAUUCAACUUUUUUUAGGGAUGGGAACUCAGAUAGAGGCUUGUUCUUUGUUUACACUUUUAAAUAAACAAAGUUUAUUUCAUUUACUUAAUAAUAUUCAUGUAAGCUAAUUUGUAUUUGCUAUUGUGUUUGUCCAUCUUUCCAUUAGUACUUUAGUAGACUUCCUACUCUCUACUCAUUCCCACCUUCUAAAUUCUGGAAAACCAAGAAAAAGGGUUUAGAAAGCUUCCUUCUUAGUAAUGGUGGUUUGGUAUAGGUUUUGGCCCAUUCUUCCCUGAUCUGGAAUUUUUCUGCGUAGUUGGGUCCGAUUCAUUCAAAUCAAAGUGUAUGGCUUUUGGCCUGUAGGGUGCUAGUUGGCCAAAAAUUAAGUUUUUGGCAAAAUACAGUAAGGUUAGAUUUUACCUUCCUUUACUUCUACCUAAUCAUUCUAUUGCAUUACUCUAUAUACUUUAUUGAAUAGACUUUGCAUUUUGUGAUAGUGGUCCAUAUUACCUGACUUCUAGUUUCUAGUAAACAUAAUUCUAUACCUACGACCAUGAAAUGCCGUACCGGCCCGUACCGGCCGGUACGGGCCGAUACGUACCGGUACCGGAACCACUAAAAAACCGGUAUUUUCCGGUUUUUUAGCCGAACCGGCCGGUACGCAUCCGUACCAGCCGGUUCGGAGCCUGUACCGGCCGGUACCGGCCUCGUACCAGUGGGAACCGGCCGGUUCGCACCGGACGUUUUUUUUUUUUUAGAACCACAGCGCGAGGCGCUGUGGUUUUUGAAACCACCGCGUACCGGCCGGUACGUACCGGACAGGUACCGUACCGGUCCGGCCGGCCACCGGUACGCCGACCGGUACCGGUACGGCGGACCUUGCCUAUGACAAUAUCAAAUCUAGGGGGAUUGUAAUGAUGUUCAUGUCAUGGAAGUUAUGUUAAGAAAGAUGGAUUGACCAAAUGUUCUCAUUAUAAUUCCAUUUUUAACACUUAGCUACAUCAUUCAUAUGUGAAGGUGAGGACAGAGACUAGCCCAGAGGAUGUUGGUGGCAUGCAUGCAGCUGCCGGAAUUCUGACAGCAAGAGGUGGCAUGACUUCUCAUGCAGCUGUUGUAGCGCGUGGAUGGGGAAGACCUUGUGUAUCUGGCUGCUCUGAUAUCCAUGUGAAUGAUGCAGAUAAGGUAACUUAAUUUUUUAUGAGCACAUCUAUUGGUGAGUGUUUUGUACUUUUAUAUAAAGAAAAAAUAUAGGACUCUAAUCAUCAUUGUGGCCUCAAGAGCAGUUUCCAGGGGAUGCAAAUACAUGUAAAUAACUGACUAUUUUUAGGUAGCUAUGAAGGCUCAAUACUAUUUGUAAUCACAAUGAACGUUUAAAUUAUUAUAAUUCUUAGGGAUUGUUAUAUGAGAAUAUAAGAGAAAGUAUAUCCUAUAUCUUUGUCAUAUAAUAGUUCUUUACUGUUGAGCUUUGCCAUCUAGGUCUGUAUUGUUGGAGACAAAGUGAUACAGGAAGGUGACUGGCUAUCGUUGAAUGGAUCAACUGGAGACGUAAUCAUGGGGAAACAGCCACUUUCUCCACCAGCUCUUAGUGGUGACUUGGAAACCUUCAUGCCUUGGGUUGAUGAAAUAAGGCAACUUAAGGUACAGAUUCCCUGUAAAAGCUAGCUACUACUAGUACGAAUACCACUGAGAAUUGGAAACAACAUUUAUCUUAUGGAUCAGAAAGGAAAGCUUCUGCAUUUUUUCCCCCUUUUCUGUCAACUGUCAAGGAUGGUUCUAGUUAUACAUGGACUUGCUUGUCCAUGGGGUUGCCCAGUUCAAAGCAAGUGAAUUCUCCACACACAAUAGAUCGGGCAACAUUUAUUCAUGUCUCCUCUAUACACCAUGUCAUUUUUUUUCAUAAUUUCUUAUGGGAAAUGAUCGCCUUGCUAGGUGAUGGCAAAUGCAGACACACCAGCAGAUGCAUUGACAGCUAGAAAUAAUGGUGCACAAGGCAUCGGACUCUGUAGGACAGAGCACAUGGUAAGUUGAACAUUCUCUUUUACUUCAUACAUUUAGACUGUCAUGGAAAAUCCUCAGAUUCAAUGAAACUAGUCUCAUAUUGAGGCAAAGAAAAUGCUUUGACCAUUUUGUUAACCAUAUGGACCUCUUAGGCAGUUUUGAGAAAGUUCAUUGUUCCCCACGAAAAUGGCAGUAUUUCUGGGUUCACUAGUGCAUAGAUAGGAUAAAGCUAAUAGCAUAGAUUCAUGGAAUUUUUUACUUUAUGUUAAUAUAAUACUUAAAUUAACAGCAGAGCACUAAUCACUUCUACUUCAAAAAUUUUGUGAAGCUAUGGUUACAAACUUUCUUUAAUUCGUGCAUGGUGUCACAGUUCUUUGCUUCAGAUGAAAGGAUAAAGGCUAUGAGACAGAUGAUAAUGGCAGGAAAUCUUGAACAGAGGCAAAGAGCAUUAGAUCUCCUCUUACCCUACCAGAGAUCUGACUUUGAAGGCAUAUUUCGUGCUAUGGAUGGU
rnacentral:lncRNA from 1 species